rnacentral:rRNA from 1 species
UUUCCUACGGGACGCAGCAGUGGGGAAUAUUGGGCAAUGGGCGCAAGCCUGACCCAGCAACGCCGCGUGAAGGAAGAAGGCUUUCGGGUUGUAAACUUCUUUUCUUGGGGACGAAGAAAGUGACGGUACCCAAGGAAUAAGCCACGGCUAACUACGUGCCAGCAGCCGCGGUAAUACGUAGGUGGCAAGCGUUAUCCGGAUUUAUUGGGUGUAAAGGGCGUGUAGGCGGGAUUGCAAGUGAGAUGUGAAAACUACGAGCUCAACCUGUGGUCUGCAUUUGCAACUGUAGUUCUUGAGUGCUGGCG